GGAUCGGGGCCGUCGGCCUCCUGCCUGCGAGGCGGCGUUGCGUCAGGUCCCCACUUCGCCGACCCCAGUUUGAGCCCACGUAUGUGUCGCAGUGACCCCCUUAAUGCAAACUUUAUCUAAACAUUAUCUAAAAAAACGUUUAUGACUCAAAUUUAGGGUUGAGACCCUAACGCAAACUUGCCUUAGGUCGAGCAUCCACUUGCUGCUCGGUAAGGUCGCUAACACGCUUUUCGGGGGUUCUGUCUGGAGUCCCAUGCCAGGAAUGCAGGGAAACAGUAAAACUCCACUACAGUCACAGGCUCUUACAAUGACUAAACUUUUUGAAAGCAUGGAUCUGGAGGUUGAGGAAAAGAUAGGCUUAGGAGAGAAGCAGGAGGCGGGUAGUGACACCGCGAGGCAAGUCUUACUACAGAUCCCAUCAUGCAAUGGGGUAAAGACGUUGAGGCUCCUAAGGCCCUGAAACGCCAGUUCUGCGGCGUCGGCGCCCGCGAUGUACUCUGGGAUUUGUAGUCCGCUGUUCCGCCUGGAGCGCCGGAACUUACUUGCGAUACUAGUCCCACCUCUUAAAGGCCAAACACCCGACUUUGUUUCCUAAGAAGACACUCUAAUCUAUCAGGCAAUUUAUUAUUUUUCCACAUUUUACCUUAUUUUCAGUACGGAAGUUUGUAUGCUCUGUGAAAACCUACAGGCUCUUACAGGCUCUUAUCUUCAUUUGGCAAACAUUGAGUUUCUACGAUUUCUACCAGGCGUCAGACCAGUACCUGCUGUAUCCACUACACCUCAGGUGCAUCCCCGGUUACGUUUGCUGAAGCCGGGGGAGAAGAUUUUUCACCAUGAGCAUCAGCCUGUAAUGAAACGUCCUCAGAACCCGUGUGCACGGCCUCCAGCUCUACGUCCUGAUGCCGGAUGCAGCCGACCUGCAGAAAA